GACGAACGCUGGCGGCGCGCUUAACACAUGCAAGUCGAGCGAGAACCAGCCCUUCGGGGCUGGGGACAGCGGCGAACGGGUGAGUAACACGUGAGUAAUCAACCCUCGGUACCGGGAUAGCCCGGGGAAACCCGGAUUAAUACCGGAUGGCCCAUCCGCCUCUCGAGGCGGCUGGAAAAGGUAGCUUCGGCCUCCGACCGGGGACGAGCUCGCGGCGGAUUAGCUUGUUGGCGGGGUAACGGCCCACCAAGGCGACGAUCCGUAGCUGGUCUGAGAGGACGAUCAGCCACACUGGGACUGAGACACGGCCCAGACUCCUACGGGAGGCAGCAGUGGGGAAUCUUGCGCAAUGGGCGAAAGCCUGACGCAGCGACGCCGCGUGAGGGAAGAAGGCCUUCGGGUUGUAAACCUCUUUCAGGAGGGACGAAGCUACUCGGGUUAACAGCCCAGAGGGUGACGGUACCUCCAGAAGAAGCCCCGGCUAACUACGUGCCAGCCGCCGCGGUAAGAC
rnacentral:rRNA from 1 species